rnacentral:rRNA from 1 species
UACAGAGGUCUCAAGCGUUGUUCGGAUUCAUUGGGCGUAAAGGGUGCGUAGGUGGCGAGGUUAGUCAGGUGUGAAAUCUCGGGGCUCAACCCCGAAACUGCACUUGAUACUGCCUUGCUAGAGUACUGGAGAGGAGAUUGGAAUUUACGGUGUAGCAGUGAAAUGCGUAGAUAUCGUAAGGAAGACCAGUGGCGAAGGCGAAUCUCUGGACAGUUACUGACACUGAGGCACGAAGGCCGGGGGAGCAAACGGG